GAUGAACGCUGGCGGCGUGCCUAAUACAUGCAAGUCGAGCGAACAGACGAGGAGCUUGCUCCUCUGACGUUAGCGGCGGACGGGUGAGUAACACGUGGAUAACCUACCUAUAAGACUGGGAUAACUUCGGGAAACCGGAGCUAAUACCGGAUAAUAUAUUGAACCGCAUGGUUCAAUAGUUAAAGACGGUUUUGCUGUCACUUAUAGAUGGAUCCGCGCCGCAUUAGCUAGUUGGUAAGGUAACGGCUUACCAAGGCAACGAUGCGUAGCCGACCUGAGAGGGUGAUCGGCCACACGGGAACUGAGACACGGUCCAGACUCCUACGGGAGGCAGCAGUAGGGAAUCUUCCGCAAUGGGCGAAAGCUUGACGGAGCAACGCCGCGUGAGUGAUGAAGGUCUUCGGAUCGUAAAACUCUGUUAUUAGGGAAGAACAAAUGUGUAAGUAACUAUGCACGUCUUGACGGUACCUAAUCAGAAAGCCACGGCUAACUACGUG
rnacentral:rRNA from 1 species